UUUCCGUAGGUGAACCUGCGGAAGGAUCAUUACUGAGUGAGGGCCCUCUGGGUCCAACCUCCCACCCGUGUUUAUUAUACCUUGUUGCUUCGGUGAGCCCGCCUCACGGCCGCCGGGGGGCAUCUGCCCCCGGGCCCGCGCCCACCGAAGACACCUAGAACUCUGUAUGAAGAUUGCAGUCUGAGCAGAAACUAAAUAAGUUAAAACUUUCAACAACGGAUCUCUUGGUUCCG
rnacentral:misc_RNA from 1 species